AAGUGUGUGCCAUAUGGGAUGUAGUUUUGUGUAUUUUUGUGCCUUUGGAGCCCCCUACAGUUAAGUGAGUGGAAUUCACUGUCGUAGGUGACAAAAUUUGCUGUACACGUGCAUUUAAUCCACCCUUUUCGCGGAAUUUCGUACGCUCAUCAGGCGUUUGGGAAGCGUGGGAAAGAAGCCGAUCGCAUUUGGAAGUCAGUGUACCAUUACAAUGACUUUAAAACUGUUAUUCCAAGAGCCAUCUAAUAUGACUUCUGAAGAUUGCUGGAAUAACACACACGAAUCAUAAGGACUACAUAUGUGGUACUUUCAUUUGCUUUUUGGUGCUUCACAGACACAAGUAUCGUCUGUUCCCUCAUCUGCUUGUUUCGUGAAUGAAAACAUUAUGCUGAAGAUAGGAACCGGUAAACACCAGCGAUGACUCAACCCUCUGUGUAUUCUGUCAGGCUUGGGCAACCGUGCAACAUGUUUAAGUAUUACACCACAGUUCCCUUCCAUCCCCAAACUAUUAGUAGCCUUUUCUCAACUACAGCACAUGUUUAGAAUAUAAUGAUUCACUUGAGCAGCUGCCAGGUAACACCUCUAUGACUGCCCCCCUUCCUUUCUUCUCUCUCUCUUUCUCUUUCACACAUGCACAAACACUCAUACACUGGAG
ensembl:lncRNA